UGUAAGUGUAAAUGCUCUUUUGUUCCGACGUUGGAAAGUUCCGGGCGGAAAGAACUAACUAGCCGAAAAGUUCCGGAGGAACUUAUCAACCAGUUACUUUGUUCCUUCCUCUGGUUUAAAAGUUCCACCGGAACAAACUGACUAGUUGAAAAGUUCCAACGGAACAUAUUAACUAGUUAGAAAGUACCUUUUUGCCAAAUUCGUCAAAACCGGAACUAACAAACUAGCCCAAAAGUUCCAACGGAACUUAUCAACCAGUCACAAAGUUCCAUUUGGAGAUUUGAUGCAAAGUAAAAGCGUAACAUAUUAUCUUUGAAAGUUUCAAAGGGGAAAAAAGAUACCAGCCACAAAAGUCAAACGGAACUUAU
rnacentral:lncRNA from 1 species